rnacentral:rRNA from 1 species
UACGUAGGGUGCGAGCGUUGUCCGGAAUUAUUGGGCGUAAAGGGCUCGUAGGCGGUUUGUCGCGUCGGGAGUGAAAUCCACUGGCUUAACUGGUGGCUUGCUUUCGAUACUGGCAGACUGGAGGUAUGCAGGGGAGAACGGAAUUCCUGGUGUAGCGGUGAAAUGCGCAGAUAUCAGGAGGAACACCGGUGGCGAAGGCGGUUCUCUGGGCAUGUCCUGACGCUGAGGAGCGAAAGUGUGGGGAGCGAACAGG